GACGAACGCUGGCGGCGCGCUUAACACAUGCAAGUCGAACGGAAAGGCCUGCUUUCCCUUGUGGAUUGCGGGUACUCGAGUGGCGAACGGGUGAGUAACACGUGAGUGAUCUGCCCCCAACUUGGGUAUAAGCCUGGGAAACUGGGUCUAAUUCCCGAUAGGACUGCAGGGUGGUGCCUGUGGUGGAAAACGAUUUUCUAGUGGUUGGGGAUGAGCUCGCGGCCUAUCAGCUUGUUGGUGGGGUAAUGGCCUACCAAGGCGGCGACGGGUAGCCGGCCUGAGAGGGUGGACGGCCACAUUGGGACUGAGAUACGGUCCAGACUCCUACGGGAGGCAGCAGUGGGGAAUAUUGCACAAUGGGCGGAAGCCUGAUGCAGCGACGCCGCGUGGGGGAUGACGGCCUUCGGGUUGUAAACUCCUUUCGACCGCGAGGAAGCCACCUGGUUGGAAGGGUGGCGACGGUAGUGGUAGAAGAAGCACCGGCUAACUACGUG
rnacentral:rRNA from 1 species